CUACGGGGCGCAGCAGUUAGGGAUAUUCGGCAAUGGGGGAAACCCUGACCGAGCAAUGCCGCGUGAAUGAAGAAGUAUUUCGAUAUGUAAAGUUCUGUUGUUAAGGAAGAAAGGUACGAAUAGGAAAUGAUUCGUAAUUGACGGUACUUAACCAGAAAGCCCCUGCUAACUACGUGCCAGCAGCAGCGGUAAUACGUAGGGGGCGAGCGUUAUCCGGAAUUAUUGGGCGUAAAGGGUGCGUAGGCGGCCUGUCAAGUCCGAGUUGAAAGCCCACGGCUUAACCGUGGAGGGUGCUCGGAAACUGAUAGGCUUGAAUCCAGAAGAGGCAAGUGGAAUUCUAUGUGGAGCGGUGGAAUGCGUAGAUAUAUGGAGGAACACCAGUGGCGAAGGCGGCUUGCUGGGCUGGUAUUGACGCUGAUGCACGAAAGCGUGGGGAGCAAACAGGAUUAGAUACCCCCGUAGUC
rnacentral:rRNA from 1 species